rnacentral:rRNA from 1 species
GCCAGAACUGUGGGGACACGUAAGGAAAGCGGAAGCCGGGAAUGGAAAGCCCGGUGCAAGCGGGGUACCAGUCACUUUGGCAAAUCCGGGUGGCAAUGGGAAGCCGUGAUGCGGAGCGAAAUAAAGUAGCGAAGUCCGUGAGCCAUGCGUCAAGAAAAGCCGCUAUCGUUUAUACCGUACCCGUACCGUAAACCGACACAGGUGGAUGAGGAGAGAAUCCUAAGGCCGGCGGAAGAAGCAUUGUCAAGGAACUCGGCAAAAUGGCCCCGUAACUUAGGGAUAAGGGGUGCCUGGGAAACCAGGCCGCAGAGAAUAGGCUCAAGCAACUGUUUAGCAAAAACACAGGUCUAUGCGAAACCGAAAGGUGAGGUAUAUGGGCUGACGCCUGCCCGGUGCUGGAAGGUUAAGAGGAGAGGUUAGCGGUAACGCGAAGCUUUGAAUUUAAGCCCCAGUAAACGGCGGCCGUAACGAUAACGGUCCUAAGGUAGCGAAAUUCCUUGUCGGGUAAGUUCCGACCCGCACGAAAGGCGUAAUGAUUUGAGCGCUGUCUCGACAAUGCAUCCGGUGAAAUUGAAGUACCAGUGAAGAUGCUGGUUACCUGCGCCAGGACGGAAAGACCCCAUGGAGCUUUACUCCAGUCUGGUACUGGACUCGGUAUUGCAUGUACAGGAUAGGUGGGAGGCUAGGAGAUGGUAACGCCAGUUGCCAUGGAGCCGCUGUUGGGAUACCACCCUUGCAGUAUUGGGUUUCUAACCAGCCGCCGUGACCCGGCGGUGGGACAAUGCCAGACGGGGAGUUUGACUGGGGCGGUCGCCUCCGAAAGGGUAUCGGAGGCGCCCAAAGGUUCCCUCAGAAUGGACGGAAACCAUUCGAAGAGUGCAAAGGCAGAAGGGAGCUUGACUGCGACACCGACGGGUGGAGCAGGUACGAAAGUAGGGCUUAGUGAUCCGGUGGUAUUAAGUGGGAAUGCCAUCGCUCAACGGAUAAAAGCUACCCUGGGAUAACAGGCUUAUCACUCCCAAGAGUUCACAUCGACGGAGUGGUUUGGCACCUCGAUGUCGGCUCAUCGCAUCCUGGGGCUGUAGUAGGUCCCAAGGGUUGGGCUGUUCGCCCAUUAAAGCGGUACGCGAGCUGGGUUCGGAACGUCGUGAGACAGUUCGGUCCCUAUCCGGCGUGGGCGUAGGAUAUCUGAGAGGAGCUGUCCUUAGUACGAGAGGACCGGGAUGGACGGGCCGCUGGUGCAUCGGUUAGACUGCCAAGUCUACGGCCGAGUAGCCAAGCCCGGAAGGGAUAAACGCUGAAGGCAUCUAAGCGUGAAGCCCCCCUUAAGAUGAGAUAUCCCAUUCGUUAAGAAGUAAACCCCCUUGAAGACGACGAGGUAGAUAGGGCAGAGGUGGAAGUGUGGCAACACAUGGAGCUGACUGUUACUAAUCGGGUGAGGGCUUGACCUA